GCCGGGGUGCCCGAGCGGCCCAAGGGGGUGGGCUCGAGACCUUUUCCGGCUACGAGAGGGUGGGAGACCCACUGCCCCGUGCAGGGGCGCGCGGGUUCGAAUCCCGCCCCCGGCG
rnacentral:tRNA from 1 species